UUUAAAUGAUUUUAAAAAGGUUCCACAGUAUUGCAGGUGAAUGAUGUAAACCAUAUGAAAUAAAAGAUUAUGAAUUAUAAUUCUGUUUAAUGAUGGUGCUGCAGCCUCAGAAUGGGAUUAGUAGGCCCAGGACUUUUACAGAUUAUAGGUUCAACACAAUUUCACCAGUAAUAUUAUACUUAGGAUUAAAUAUGAAAUUAAUACACUAUAUUGGAAUUUAUGCAUUUACUCUUGAAGCAAUUUUCUCCAACGCA